CUACGGGAGGCUGCAGUGAGGAAUAUUGCACAACGGGGGGAACCCUGAUGCAGCAACGCCGCGUGGAGGAUGACGCAUUUCGGUGUGUAAACUCCUUUUAUAUGUCAAGAAAAUGACGGUAGCAUAUGAAUAAGCACCGGCUAACUCCGUGCCAGCAGCCGCGGUAAUACGGAGGGUGCAAGCGUUACUCGGAAUCACUGGGCGUAAAGGACGCGUAGGCGGGUUGGAAAGUCAGGUGUGAAAUCCUACAGCUUAACUGUAGAACUGCACUUGAAACUUCUAAUCUAGAGUAUGGGAGGGGGAGAUGGAAUUAGUGGUGUAGGGGUAAAGUCCGUAGAUAUCACUAGGAAUACCUAAAGCGAAGGCGAUCUCCUGGAACAUUACUGACGCUAAGGCGUGAAAGCGUGGGGAGCAAACAGGAUUAGAUACCCCGGUAGUC
rnacentral:rRNA from 1 species